rnacentral:rRNA from 1 species
GUGGGUAGUUUGACUGGGGCGGUCUCCUCCUAAAGAGUAACGGAGGAGCACGAAGGUUGGCUAAUCCUGGUCGGACAUCAGGAGGUUAGUGCAAUGGCAUAAGCCAGCUUGACUGCGAGCGUGACGGCGCGAGCAGGUGCGAAAGCAGGUCAUAGUGAUCCGGUGGUUCUGAAUGGAAGGGCCAUCGCUCAACGGAUAAAAGGUACUCCGGGGAUAACAGGCUGAUACCGCCCAAGAGUUCAUAUCGACGGCGGUGUUUGGCACCUCGAUGUCGGCUCAUCACAUCCUGGGGCUGAAGUAGGUCCCAAGGGUAUGGCUGUUCGCCAUUUAAAGUGGUACGCGAGCUGGGUUUAGAACGUCGUGAGACAGUUCGGUCCCUAUCUGCCGUGGGCGCUGGAGAAUUGAGGGGGGCUGCUCCUAGUACGAGAGGACCGGAGUGGACGCAUCACUGGUGUUCGGGUUGUCAUGCCAAUGGCACUGCCCGGUAGCUAAAUGCGGAAAAGAUAAGUGCUG